rnacentral:rRNA from 1 species
AGAGUUUGAUCAUGGCUCAGGAUGAACGCUGGCGGCGUGCUUAACACAUGCAAGUCGAACGGAGUUUAGAUGAAACCUAGUGAUUCUAAACUUAGUGGCGGACGGGUGAGUAACGCGUGGGUAACCUGCCAUAUACAGGGGGAUAACACUUAGAAAUAGGUGCUAAUACCGCAUAAGCGCACAGGACCGCAUGGUCUGGUGUGAAAAACUCCGGUGGUAUAUGAUGGACCCGCGUCUGAUUAGCUAGUUGGUGAGGUAACGGCCCACCAAGGCGACGAUCAGUAGCCGGCCUGAGAGGGUGAACGGCCACAUUGGGACUGAGACACGGCCCAAACUCCUACGGGAGGCAGCAGUGGGGAAUAUUGCACAAUGGGGGAAACCCUGAUGCAGCCGACGCCGCGUGAGUGAAGAAGUAUUUCGGUAUGUAAAGCUCUAUCAGCAGGAAAGAAAAUGACGGUACCUGACUAAGAAGCCCCGGCUAACUACGUGCCAGCAGCAGC